rnacentral:misc_RNA from 1 species
CUUAGUGAACGUGUUGUCUCUUCCAAGAAGGCUCAAGCUAAUUGGUAUAGAAAGCUAUUGGAGGCAUGGAGAGAAGCAAAGCCUCCACCAAAAACACCAGAACAAGCUGCUAGGCUUGUUAUUCAGACCUUGGCAAGACAUAAAAAGGCAGAUGUUGAGGGUUUAUUGUCUUUCUAUGGUCUCCCGCUCCCUCAUACUCUUGUUGCACCUUCUACUGGUGUCCCAACAACAUUGCCAGAGGGGGUCAAGUUUGAGCUGCAGACUCUACCAGUGGAUGCAAAAGCU